GUCUUUGGCUGCUAUGAUUUCGUAACCCUCUAGUUUUAGAGCGAGACCACACCAAAGGUUAGCUGCAGGUGAAAGAGGAGAGAGGUGACAGGGAUGGGCUGCUUCAGGCCUUGGUGGGAAGUUCCAGAAGAGACAGCUGGGAACAGGGAAAGUGUGCUGAGCAGGCAGUGAAAACCCGUGGGCCAGUCUGGAGGGGAGACAGGGAGGAGGAGCGGUGGGCAGCAGGACAGGGGAUCUGAGAAUCGAGUAGAUUACUCAAUACUGGUGAGAGGCCUUUCGUUAAAGUCAGAUUCUAGUGUAGUAGACGUGGUUGCAACCUGUCAGUGAAGGCAAGAGGAGGCUGCUAUUUCUAAACCGAGAGAGAAAGCCCCUGGAGUAAGGGAAGAGAGACGGCUCAGGGAAUAAAGGCUCCUGCCAUCAAUUUGGAGUUUCUUCCCAGGACCAGCACGGUGGAAGAAGGAGGGAACACGCUCAAGCAAGUUUUCCUCUGACCACCAUCCAUCUACCAACUACACAAUAAAGUAAAUAAUAAUAAAUGAAAUGUAAGGGAGAAAGACAGAAAAUGAGAAAGCCCAGGACAACCAAAGAUACUCAGAGGUCUAACUCAUCUCAUCAAGCAGUGGUCGCCCUACUGAGGGGUCAAAGAAUGGUUGAGACCCGACUUGUUAAAAGAUGCUUGCAAAUGCUGGGGCAAACCGACCUGCAGCCUACUACCUGCCAUCUGCCUUGGACUCCAGCACUCACAGAUGGGCUUCUGGAUCAAGUUAUUCCACAGUCAUCAAGCCACAAGCCCAUGGACAAUGAGCAACCAUCCAAACAACACUCUGCCCGUUGCCUGUCUGUGCACUGCCGCUCCUUCUGCAGAUCUGUGAAACACCUGGGUCAUGGGGAGAUGAGGAUGAGCAACCAGAUGAACAUCUGGAGCAUGCCUAGGCAGGUUUCGAGAACUUUCUUGUAACACGGACACCAGUUGAUGUCUUCUGGAGUCCCCUGCAUUCAUCCAGGGCAGGAGAGUUAACAUUCAAUGAAUAAGCCUAUAAUGCCUGACACUUAGCUGUUCACAGAAAAGCAGGAUCCCUACUUGAUGGUGCCACUUGCUUUUCUGGAAGAUGCAGUCUCUGGUCUCUGCUCCAUGGCCUCUGCCAUCAAGGGAAAGUAAGGUGGCAGGUUUCUGUCCCCACCCAGGUGCCUAGUGACAAGCCUGCCUGGAGUCAAGUCUUCAUGAGUCUAAUUCACGGUCCAGGAGAAGCUCACAGACUAGCCUUUGGACACUCUGGGAUGCAGUAGACUAACAGACUUUAUAGAAACAUCUAUAGUUUCUACAGAAGAUGGAAGUAUUAAGACUCCAAUGCUCAAAUCAUUUGGUGACAUCACUAUUGCCUGCACAUCAAAGUUCACAGUGGAGCCUGCAUUUGUGUUCCCCUGCUCUGAAUGUAGGCGUAUCUCUAAGAGACUUGUUAUGCAGUCUUGUACUUCCCUUAGCUGUGGACAUGAUACAAUUCUUUUAAAACCCACAUGUAUUCAUGUUGGAAGCUAAAAGUAACUUAAGCUAUAUGAAUUUCAGAAAAAAAUGCUGUUAAUUCAGAAUUGAUAGAGCCAUUUUGAGGUAUUUUGUUUUCUAUCAGUCACUUAAGGCAGGAUAUUCACCCUUUUGACAAUGAAUUAACACUACACCCUGUCUACACUACAGCUUGUCAUCUAUAAACUGAGAUACAUUAAUUGAGAUUACUUUAAUUUUUAAGCCAAAGCACACUGAAAUAAAACUUGAAAUAAUAAACUAUUGUUUUCUGUUUAAGAAUC